GCAGGGGCUGUGGGGGGCUUGGAAAAGGGGAUCCCUCCCAGUGGGGCUAGAAGGGGACCUGCCUGGUGACCAGAGCCUGGGGCCGAGUUGGGCGGGUCUUCCAGGAGUGGCUGGUGCCCAGGCAUGGGGUCCGGUUGGACGUGGAUACUCACCUCUGGUCCAGAAGGGAAGUCGGGGGCAGGAUGGGCUACUUUUGAUUUUUUAAAGAAAGAAAGGGAAAAUAUUUUAUGCACCAAUCAAAAGGUUCAUGAUUCAUUCCUCUAUACUGAAAGACAGUUGACAAAAGCAAAACUUACAUAUUUAUUUGGCAUGUUACAUAUGACAUGAGAAUCUUUAAAGACCUGAAUAAAUACAAAAGACUGUGGAAUUUUGUAGAAUGUAUAUACACGUAUGUUUGGAAGACAAGCGGACAUGCUCUAAUGGCUAUAAACUGUAUGUGGAGUUGUUUAAAAAGGACUGGGUGUUAAGGUUCUUUUCUGUCUUAACUUUCCUUUGUUUCCUUCAAAGGGAGGGGUCCCCUGCAGGGAGGAUUGCCCUGGAAUAAAGAUUGUGAAUCUGCUUCAUGAGGAAACUUGGCAAAGAGAAUGCUAAUUUCAAUGAUCUGUUUUAGAAGACAAGGUGGAUGGGUGAAAGUCAGCUCUGAGGUCUCACAUGGUGAAUUCAAAUUUCUGGGAGGAAGGCAGGACAGCAAUUUCAAUGAAAUAAUCAAUUACACACAGCUAUGAGGCUCAGGGCAACUGACGUCCAACCUAACAUUAACAUACAAAACUCAGUGUACUCCAAGGAAAAGGAGGCAGAAAGAGUAUAAGAGCCAGAGAGGCUGGAGGACCUCAAGACAAUGAGGUUCUGUAAAUCAACAUGACCAAAUAGGGACUGAAACAGCAUGAACAAGGCCUGCAUGGGGCUAUACCAGAUGCUUUAUUAACUCGGGGACAUUAAGAAUGCUUUCAAAGUAAACCUACAAAGGAUGGCAUAGAAAAAAAGCUAGUAAGGGAGAGGAAUUUUGGACACAGAUAAAUGCCAGAGGAACCUCUUGAAGCUACAGAAGAUGGCUAUAUGCAAUAAAAGGGAAAAGGUUACUGGAAAAAAUCCUGAUGACACUUUUAUCUCGAACUUGUAGCAACCAGAGCUCAAGAAGAUAUAUUUCUGUUUAAUAUUCCAAGAACUGCAAGAAAAUAUGUACUUCAGAACUGUAAGAAAAUAUAUUUCUGUGCAAUACUCAACAAUCUUGUGUCUGUGGUACUUCGUUUCAGAGUGUUGGCUAAUCAAUGAAGAUUUUUAAAAAGGUUAUUUAUUUUUCUGUGAAUGAGGGUUUUGUCUGCGUGUAUGUCUGUGCAGCACAAACCUGGCUGGUAUCUUCUGAGGCCGGAAGAAUGAUUUAGACACUCUGGCACUGAAAUUGCAGAUGAUUGUGAGCUACCACAUGAGGUCUGGAAAGCUGGGUCAUAUAGCAGAACAACCAGUGCUCUUAGCCUCUGAGCUACCUCUCCAGUCCUCAAUGUACUUGUCUUACAUGUUAGUUAUAAUUUUUGCAUUGAAGAUGAUGAUAAAAUAUCUAGCUCACACUAGGCACUAAAUAAAUGUAAGCUGUUUUGUCAUUGUGCAUUGUAGAGAGAGGCUCUGAUCUAUAUAGUUUUACAUUCCCUUCAUUCAUUGUAAGUGGUAUAGUGAUUGGUUAUUUUCAGAAUAUUGUUUAACAAUCAUAUCUAUAGACUCUAACUCAGGAUUUUCCACUGCAAUUGUAUUAUUGGAGCCAAAUAAUCUCAUGUACACCCCUUGCUUAAAAUUCUUUAAUUCUAAGUUUGCCAGAAUAUUUCAUGAAGUAGUGGAACAGACUCAUUUGGGGCUGAAAAGAAACAUUUCCUACAUUAGCAAAUUUUGACGGAGAAAAGUAAAAGCUCAUGAGAUUAAAAAUAGUGAUGGUUAGGACUUAACUUUCAUGUAGAAAUAUUCAUUCCAUGACUUUAUUUCAUUUACUUUAGCUUGGCUCCAGUAUAAAAAGAAACAUGAGAAAGAGUUUGCUUGUUUGUUUGUUUGUGUUCUCUAUUUUCCAUGAAAGUGCAUAUGCCUUUGCCAUUGUAUAAAGACAAAUGAAAUUUUGGCACUCAAUUACUUAGUUGGCUGAAAGACCAGAUAUUGAAUCCAGUCAACCUCAGUAACUGUUCAUGAAACAAGAGAAAAAGCAGAAACCUUGGCAGACCAGAUGGCAUACUCUGGAAAUAAUCUUAUCUUAAUUUUGCCAGAUUAGAUAUUAUCAGUGCAUUUGAUCAGAUAUAAUAUUCUGAGAUUUACUUCAGUAUUGUUUGACUUCUCUGUUGUUAAUAAAUGAUCUUUUGAGCAAAAUGACUUAUGAUUUUGAAUUGUCAAUGGUUUAAUGGGCUAUUACUAUUACUGUUUUUAGAAGAGUCCCUAAUAACAUUCAGCAAAAUUUUCUGGACUGACUGGACCCCCCAUACAUAUAUCUAUAAGGGAAAUAGAUGAAACAACCAAAGGAGAACAGAUAAUUUCAAAAUGGGGCUUACCUGGUAAAUUAAUAUACUCUUCAUACUCUUUAGCUUUUUCUCUGGGAUCUGACAGGACAGAAGUAACUUUUUAUUAUAUUCAAAGUGCUCAGCACCAUCUGUAACUAUGUUGUUCCCACAAUGGUACCACCAUAAUUGUUACCAGCUGUAAAGAAAUGUUUAUUAACAGAGCAAGGAUUGAUUUAGGAAAAUAAAUUCACCUCAAAGAUUGAUAUAAACUAUAGCAUGAAGUGUUCUGUAAUCAGUGGUUGGUUAAAAACUGAAGAAACACAACUUUCACAUCCACAUGAUUCUGAAUGAAGAAAGCAUACAUAACACAAAUGAAUGCUGUAAAAAGUAUGACCGUAUGCUCAGCUCAUAUGUUUAGAACUCUGUUUCUUUAUUUAUUUUUAGUAUGGCUAGGGAGUGCCUACAAAACUAAAUUCCAUGAGCUUCUUGCAGCAUGAGAUAGCUACUCAUAGAGCAAUUCUUCUUUUCACAUCAUUUGGAUAAAGUAGAUUACACUGAAGUGAACAGUAGCAGGUGUUCUGAGAAGAUUCUGACCUUUUGACCUAAAUUUUUCUAUUAUGCUUGUUUUUUCUUUGCUGUUCUUUUUUUCUUUCCUAGUGCUGCAAGACACGGAUACUGCUUUGUGAUAUUUAAUUCAUGUCUUUUUUAUCAAUAUAUUUCUUCCUAUAGACAAAAGAGUUGGACAGGUGUAGUCUGUAUAAUAUUCAGCAUAUUAUUCAGUCCUAUCAAUUCAUAUUUCAUAAACUGAAUAAGCACAAGUAAUUAGUCUCCCCCACUCUAAUGCAUAAUGCAGUUCUAAACAACUUGAUUCAGCUAUAAAUGUUAUCUUUCCUGUUUAUUGAAAAUAGAUUUGUUUUCAUCACAGAACAUAUUCUGAUUACAUUUUCCUGCCUCUCGACUCUUCCCAGUUCCUCCCCCCACCCACUACCUGGGUCUACAUCCCCCCUUUCUGUCACUCAUUAGAAAACAAACAGGAUUCUAAGGGAUAUUAAACAAAAAUAAGAUAAAACAAAAACUCACACAUCAGAAUAGGAAAACAAAUCAACAGAAUGAAAAGAGCCUGAGAGAAUACACAAGGAACAGAGACCCACUUUUUUGCACAAUCAGAAGUCCCAUAGAAACACUAAACUGGAAGCCAUAACUUGUACAUCAAAAGAAACUGAAAACAUAUAUGUUUUCACUUGUAUGGGAUAUACACUUUUGAAAAGUAUCUUUAUUAAGCUCCAAGGGGACAUUUGUUAAUAUUGUUGCAGCUUUUAUUUCCUGAGGAUAUCAGAGAAAAGUAACAUGGUGUUAAGGAUUUAUCAUCCAUUUCAUAGCUUCCCACAUCUGAUUUGUAUUUCUCACGACAUGCAAUGUAAGAUGACCAUUCAGGUUUUAUUUACAAACAAUACACAUGAAGAUUGAAAUCCAUCCAAACAACAGUACAAACCUUUAAUCCCAUCACUUGGGAGGCAGAGGUAUGUGGAUCUCUGUGAGUUUGAGACCAGCCUGGUCUACAUGGAAAGUUUGAGGAAAGCCACAGCUAUAUAGUGAAACCCUGUCUCAUAAUAACAAAACCAACUCAAUAAAUAGAAUGAAACAGCUCCACUCAGUCAAAUAACUAUUAUGAUUCAUAUUUUACUAAAUUAUGCAAUUUCUUUAAACAUAUUAGACUCACCAAAUCAAUCAUUUCUUGGUGUCAUGUAGAUAUAUUUAUAAAAUAUUGUCCUAGAGAAAGACGAUUUUAAUAGCUUCAUUCUGCACCCCCUAACAGUAAAAUGCUCUCAUUUGGACUCUAAAAGAAUAUAUAUAUAUAUCCUUAAGCAUUCAAAAUAUUGGAAUACUCAACUGUCACAAUGAUAUUUCCAUUCACACUUUCCACUAUUGUGUUUUCGCUGCCAAUUUAAGAUUAGCAAUCUUCUACAGAAUUGUUUUAUUAAUUUUUGUGAUCUUUAAAGAGACAUUUCCAAGUGCACUUCUCACAUAGGUACAUAGGAAUAUGACCAAGAGAGAUUUAGUAACUGUCUUUAAUAUAUGAGGUAUACUAACACCUAACAUUAUGAAUAAAUACUCAGUCUAAAAGAUACUCUUAUGAUUCUGAGAUGGUACAGAACAAAGAGACUGGCAU